CGUGUGGUGUCUGGCGGAACAGGGCUGGAUAGCGACACGGCCUAAUAUAGAGGU
rfam:Yersinia pestis CO92 complete genome